AUGUUUAACCUUGCUGUGGAGUGCCUGACCAAGAUGAUUAAAAACGCCCAGAAAAACAAGCUGAUCACGGGACUAGCUUCCGACCUGAUUCAGGAUGGGGUCGCGGUGUUACAGUAUGCAGAUGAUAUUAUUUUCUGCUUGGAACAUGACAUAGAAAAAGUGGUCAACCUGAAGUUGCUGCUUUAUAUUUUUGAAAUGAUGUCCGGUCUCAAGGUGAAUUUCAAAAAGAGUGAAAUCCUCACGAUGGGUGGAGAUGACAAUGUUGUUAGAGAAUACGCUAAAUUAUUUAACUGUGAUAUAGGGAGUUUUCCUAUUAAGUACUUAGGGAUGCCUGUGAGCUACACCAAUCUACGCAAUUUUGAUUGGGAAUUCAUUGUGAUUAAGUAUCUUAAAAGAUUCAAAGCCUGGAUCGGUAAUGUCGCAUCCAUGGGAGGCAGGCUUACAUUACUUGACUUGGUACUUACUCAAAUGUCCAUUUUUCACAUGUCUAUGUGGCUCGUGAAUAAAACAUUCAUUGAAAAGCUGGAUAAACAUAGACGUAGAUUUUUCUGGCAAGGUUGUAAUAAGAAAAUAAGAUAUCAUCUUGUCAAGUGGGACAGGAUUUGUAGGUCCAGAGACAAGGGAGGCCUGGGGGUUAAAGACCUUAGAAAGCAAAAUAUUAGUCUAAUGGUCAAAUGGUGGUGGAAAUCGGAGACCCAAAGCGGAUUAUGGCAGGAUAUUGUGCGUGCUAGAUACCUUAGAAACAAAACUGUUGCUGAGGUUUGUGCCAGAUUUUCCGAUUCACCAUGCUGGAAAGCUCUAUUAAAAGUGGAAGAGGUCUAUAUGGUGGGGAGGAAAGUUAACAUCGAAUCUGGAAAUAUCGCCCGGGUGUGGAUGGAUCCCAUCAAUACGCUACUUCCUUUCCAGGAACAAUUCCCAUAA
rnacentral:rRNA from 1 species